CUCCAUUUGAGUAUAGUCUGGAUUCCUGGC
rnacentral:piRNA from 1 species